GAUGAAGAACGUAGUGAAAUGCGAUAAGUAAUGUGAAUUGCAGAAUUCAGUGAAUCAUCGAAUCUUUGAACGCACCUUGCGCUCCUUGGCAUUCCGAGGAGCAUGCCUGUUUGAGUGUCAUUUCAACCCUCAAGCACAGCUUGGUGUUGGGACUCGCGUUAAUUCGCGUUCCCCAAAUUGAUUGGCGGUCACGUCGAGCUUCCAUAGCGUAGUAGUAAAACCCUCGUUACUGGUAAUCGUCGCGGCCACGCCGUUAAACCCCAACUUCUGAAUGUUGACCUCGGAUCAGGUAGGAAUACCCGCUGAACUUAAGCAUAUCAAUAAGCGGAGG
rnacentral:misc_RNA from 1 species